UAAUUAUGAAGGGUAUUUUUAGAUGAAAAAGUAAAAGUAGGGUAGUUUUGCUUCAUUAUAAUAGAUUAAGAGUAAUUUUUUACUCGUUUCCCAAAAUCAAAGGGUGAAUUGGGAAACAAAAAAAAUAAAAAAAAAUCAGACUAACUAACACUAUAUAACUAACUAUUCGUUCGUCUUCUUCUUCAUUCCUAAAGCAUUCAAAAUUUGGUCGCAUAGAAAUUGAAGAAAUAUCAGAGAACAACAUGACAUAUUGAAACCAGCAUUGGUGAGAGGAGACAUAUCCUUUGUAAUUGGUGACACUCUCUGGCAAAGUUUUAGCCAAUACAUAGUAGGGAAUGAACCAGGUGAUGAGGUGCAUGCAUUUGCUUGGAACAAAAUUACAUAUUAUUUUUUUCCGAAAAGAUGAUCAUUUGUUUUCAAACUAGGGUCGACAAAUCAAAAUUCAUAUAGAUGGUGAUUUUUCUGCCAAUUUUUAUGGAACAUCUCGUGCUUUAGCGCAUCUAGUUCUUUUUGUUUCGAUUAUUUUUACUGAUUUGUUUAUUAUUUCCUUCUAUUCAGACAAGUGCAAAUUGAAUUGAACAAAAGGAAUGCUUUGCUUA